rnacentral:rRNA from 1 species
AGUGUAAUAUUUAAGUUUGGACUGCGAAUGGCUCAUUAUAUCAGUUAUAGUUUAUUUGGUGAAGUGUACUACUUGGAUAACCGUAGUAAUUCUAGGGCUAAUACAUGAGAAAGUCCUCUGGUGAGGUGUGUUUAUUAGAAUGAAAACCAUAUGCUUCGGCAUGAUAGUGAGUAAUAGUAACCUAUCGUAUCGCAUGCUUAAUGUAGCGAUGAGUCUUUCAAGUUUCUGCCCUAUCAGCUUUCGAUGGUAGUAUAUGGGCCUACCAUG